rnacentral:rRNA from 1 species
CCUACGGGAGGCUGCAGUGAGGAAUAUUGGUCAAUGGACGAGAGUCUGAACCAGCCAAGUAGCGUGAAGGAUGACUGCCCUAUGGGUUGUAAACUUCUUUUAUAAAGGAAUAAAACGAGGCACGUGUGCCUUUUUGCAUGUACUUUAUGAAUAAGGAUCGGCUAACUCCGUGCCCGCAGCCGCGGUAAUACGGAGGCUCCGAGCGUUAUCCGGAUUUAUUGGGUUUAAAGGGAGCGUAGAUGGGUUGUUAAGUCAGUUGUGAAAGUUUGCGGCUCAACCGUAAAAUUGCAAUUGAUACUGGCAGUCUUGAGUACAGUUGAGGAAGGCGGAAUUCGUGGUGUAGCGGUGAAAUGCUUAGAUAUCACGAAGAACCCCGAUUGCGAAGGCAGCUUACUAAACUGUGACUGACAUUGAUGCUCGAAAGUGUGGGUAUCAAACAGGAUUAGAUACCCGUGUAGUC